UUUUUUUUUUUUGAAAAAAAAAUGAGCAUGUGAUGAUACACAUAAUUGCAUUAUGAUGCAGGAUGACAUAGUACAGAAGACAAUGUUUUCAAGCUGGUUUUGUAAGUAGUUAUCUCCCAUCCACAAGGAGGUGGUUUGCCAUGUGAUGCGAUGUGUCCCACACAGACAUGAACGAAACAAUACAACCACCAUUCCGUGGGGGCAGGGGAGCAUGGUGAUUGUAAUAAAGUGGACUUUUAAACACAACAAACUGUAGACAGACACGUUGAUAGGAAAGAGCCUUGACUAUAGGCACCAGUGCCCCAGUUCAACAACACCCAUCCAGUGUAAUCAAGGGUGAGGGACAAAAUAUAUCCUGUCAUCUGGAUGUAAUGACAAAAAUUCUGCUGUGGGCAAACUAGAAACACACGUAGGGCGAAAGCCAUUUCUAUAAUGUAUUAGGCUGUAUCUUAGGAGAAUAAAAUUAGCAGAAAAGAAAGACAUCGGUAUGUCCUUAAAAUAUCUUACUUUUUGAUUUACGUGAGCACUUUGACUAGCAUUUGACCCAAAUUCUACUCUCCGAUUCACCCUCAUUUCUCAACAACAACAACAACAAAAUGAAUCUCUGUGAAAGUCAUGGUAAGCCUGCUUUGGAAAAAAAAGCAAGAUAUAAUACUUCACACAAGGAGUCCCUGGUUCUUGCUUUGCACAAAGGGCCGAUUCUGUUGUCUCAAACAUUUAAAAUUGCUGGGGAUGAAAAUCCAGAAAGAAAAAGUACCGAUGUGACUCUUUCCACCAUUCAUCUCCUUUCAACUCACCGUUGUGGUUUUGCUGUUGAGAAAUUAUUGCUUGUGAAGCCCAAUUAACUAGGGAGAGAGCCCCUUUUCUGCAGUGGGUUGUGCAUAUGGAACAUGCCUUCAGCAUGGAAGGGAAUUUGUUUAUACAGGUUUUAUCUCUUCCCUCAGCCAAGUAACAGGGAGAAAGAUCAUAAUUCAGGAGAUUCAUUUUCAGGAAAAGAAACAUCAAAUGACAUUCUCUUAAUGUUUUCUAAGUCCAUUAGCACUUCCAUGAAUCAAUACUGUCAAGAGACCUUGUUCUGCCCAGAAAAGGGGUGGGGGUCAUUUCUCUGAUGCUGGGCAGCAUCCUACCUAAAAUUCAAUUAAACUAACAACAGUUCUAUAACACAUUAUUUAGAAGACUAUUUAAAACAUCCCAAGGUGAGACAUCUGAAAAGGAAUUUUCUCUUCUCUCUUCUUGCUCAUCCUCUGCAUGUUCGUGAUUGCCACACCAUCAGCCAACUGCCAAGAGUGGACUCUGUUAUUAACAGCUAGUUCCAUGGAGGUGAACAUUUCAAAUGCAACUUAAAUAUCCUCUAGAAGGUCUCUACAGGUGGAAAGGCUCUGAGUCUACCUACAAAGAAACGUGCAGAAUCGAGAAAACCUGCUCUGUCUAAAAUGCUCCCAAGUAGGGCAGGGUUUUGAUGAUUUUUGGAUCUCCAGGCCCAGCAGGAGGCAAGUGACAAGUUCAGGGAGACGUAGGGCUAUUGCUCUUUUGUUUCUAAUGCUUCUUCAUGUAUGACUCUCCAGAAAACUGAUUUCAACUCUCACAUACCACUGCCAAAUCAUGCGCUAUUAUCAAUCACAUGCCUUUUCUUAUCUGGAAAAUGGGAUAACUACACAUCCAUGACAAAAACUACUUAGAAGAGUUAGAAAUGGAAAGUUGGCUCCUGGGAACACACGUGCAGUGUGCUGUGCUUGAAAGAACAGACACUUCAGAGCCAGCGACUGGAAACUUCCACUCCCACUCUGCCGUUCACCGUAUCUUGUGUGUGCAGACAACUCAGCCGCCCUUUCCAUGCCUCAGUUUCCCACUCAUAACACUUCGAACUGUUAUACAGAUUAGAGGUGGUAUGUCUAAAAAAUUACCUAGUAUCGUGCUUGGCAUAUAGUGUUCACUAAAGAAUAGGUACUAUGUUCAGGGUUUGCUGAAAUUUUGCCCUUUCGAGUUUUUAGAACUUUGCGGACAACUUGCAGAAAACAGCCCAGUCCGAAGACUGGCCUUCAGUGAGAUGAAGGAACUCAGCAGCUUUCCUUUGACACUCAACUGGGCUCUUGUCUAUUCAUAUAAUCCUCUUGUAUAUUUCUAUUCACGACUCCACUUAUAGCAGUAAAAAAAAAAAAAAAAAAAGACAAUAUUGUGAAGUUCUGAAUCUGGAACUUUCCAGGACUAACUGCAAACAUUAGUCAAAGGCUAGACCUCCUAUAUAUGUCAGUUGUACUUUAGUAGACUUUUGGAGGAGAAAUGAUUAUAUCAAUAUUUAUUCCCAAAUGGUUCUUAGAUGAUAAUAGGAAAUAUUAGGGAGAAAGGAAAUGAAGAAAUGUAAAGAUGGAUUUGUGCAUUUGAUAUUAGUGGAUAAAAAUAAAGGAAAACAGAUUAUCUUCUCAUGUUUCGCUCUAAAUAAAUUGGCUUUUGUUAACUGAGCAAAACUUUGGGGCAAAUCAGUGAAGUUUUCAUCUCAAAAUUAUAAUUGCCAUAUGCCAGAGUGUGUGCUGGAGCUAAUGAUAAAGUUCAGAUUUGCAUUUUUACAUUCUCUAAGGAAGAUAAAAUUACGAAAUGCUAACAUAAAUAAGAUUAGGUAUAUUCAAAACACACCAAAUAAUUUUUGAGGGGUUUUGUGAAGAGAUUCCCUUUACUAUGGGCAUAUAUUUACUCUGUGUGCAUGUGUUUCCCAAAUGUGGAAGAAAAAAAAUCCAGUUUGAUGAGGAAUUAUUGCUGUGUAAAAGCAGAGGAAUAUCUCAUUGGUCAUAAUGUUUAUUGACAGGCACUUUCAGUUUUUAAUUCACUUCUGAAAAUGGGCAUUAUCUUAUUCCUCCUGCCAGUACAGAUUCACUUCUCAUGUGGCCUUAUCGAUAGCACUUAUUGGUCAACACAGAGCCACAGUUAAAUAGUAUUCUUUCUGGGAUUCAGAAAAAAUAAACCCCUGUAGAGGUUUGUUUUGUUUUUUUUUAUUUGUUUGUUUGAUUUUUUCUGAUUGAGAACUACUUCACUGAGGAGGAAGGUAACUGAGAAAAGAGACCAGUUGCUCAUUUUUUUUUUUUUUCUUUUAAGCACAAGACAUCCAUGCAUCUGUUUUGCUCUUUCAAGCAAAGACAUUGCGAGUUUGGAAUCAGUUGUCUGCAACUUAAAAUGACUUCACUGUGUUCUAACCCAUCCUGGCUGAAAGGCGACAAGUGGCCACUGCAUUUUGUCAGGGAGCAUGAGGGCUGUGCUCUGACCAAGUGGAACAGAGUUGCCAUGGCAACACCGCUAAUUGUAUGUAAGAUAUACAAGGCAUAUCUGAACAAGUUUUUCUUUUUUUAUUGUGAUGAAAACUAGAAGCUCUUUUUCCCAACAUACUUCAUCAAACUAUUUACAACCUCUGUAAAAUUUGUGAGUUUGAAAAUACUUUUCCACUAUCACAUAUGUUACGAAUACAGCAAAAUAGCUUCACUCUAUUUUCUUUUAAGAUGCAGUAUCCUAUUUCAUUUUCUUAUGAAAAUCUGAAUUUCUAUUGCAAUUGCACAGUAUUUAGCAUAUUUAAAGUACCAAUGGACAUGGGUUGCUAAACAGACAUUAUUCUAUAAUGAAACUGAGAAAAUAUAGCAUUUAAAAUUUUUAUGUACACUUCUUAACUAUAAAAUGCAGGCAAAGUCAUAUAUAGCAUCAUAAGCUGAUUCCUUAAUAAGGUAAAUAACUUACAUUUCUAGACAGCAUGGAUUAUUACAAAUUCAUUCUUUUUUAAAAAAGUUCUUCAUUGAUAUUUAUUAGCCCACUGGCUGCUGCAUAUACAGGUGUGUAUUCAGGUGUGCAUGUGUUGGCGGUGCCUGUACAGGUAAGAGGAAGGCAGUGUGGGGAUACGUAGAAAUGUGAUAUGGAAGACAUGGUUUACCAAACCCUUUUACUAAACAAAAGCAAAUCAAAUUGAUUUUUUAAUGAGAUGCACUACUUCGGAAAACUGGAAGGAAGAGAUCUGAUCAAUGAAGCUGUAGAAUACAUUUACCUCCUAAAUUUACAGGCGUUAGUUAGUAAGGACCAAAAUCUGAGACUGGAUUAUGGACUAUGAGUAUUAAGGCUUCCUGGGCCUAUUAUGAUUCAUAAUAGUUAUCUCACAUUCAGUCCCUUACACAAAGACUACAACUCAACACAUCAUGAAUGCUGGUAUUCUUAACACUGCUUCAAUUCUGUCAAUCCUUACUCUAAAUGUUAAGACACCUUUAUAACGACAUCAUGGCUACACUUCUAAGCAGUCAUAACAAUAUAACAAAGGCGUACUAAUACAUCUGAAGGCCUCACCUCACCAGAUUUAUUCAAUUGCAGCUUUGGUAAGUAUAAUAAAUAAAGUACAGAAUGAGGAAUACUGCAUCUUUAUCCAUAUACAUGUUAUCAUUCUAAUGAACUGAUUUCAAAGUGCAGAAUUAUAUUUAUGUUUAAAACACAAAGCAAUUUGAAGUCACAACAACUGUAUAAAAAUGAACACAAUUUUUGUAUAAGCUAUGCCAAAUUUCAAUCAUAAGGAGAAUGGGCUUUUUAAUCAUCUAGAACUGGCAUCUGUAAACUCGGUAGCAUUUUGCAAGGUUUUUUUCCCCCUGACAUUUCUCUUCCUAUUUCCCACUUAAACUUUAAAGUGAAUAAAAAGUGCUCUUUUUUUUUUUGUUAAAAAAAUGUGGUUUAUGUUACUGUUAUUCAACUGCUUUUGAAAAUAAAUGUCCUAUAGUGUUUUGUAAAAGUAAUGUCAGGAAAUAGAAUAAUGUAUAUGGUAAAGCCCUUAAGAAUUUCAGUCUAAAUGCCUUAAUAGAACUUAAGACAAGUUAUCAAGCAGGCUUCUCAGAGUCCACACAAAAUUAACGGGAUGGAGGUGAAUGGGGAAGUGAGAAUCUUUCCCUAAACAGCCUAAGAUCAUAAUGUGAGGAAGAAAUCUAUUAAAACAUCAAAGUCUGAACCUCAUAACUUUCCAAAUAAUAUUAACUUCCUUAAAAUCAAUCUCUGCAAUGCAAACGAGAUAGUCAGGUCGACUGUAGCUUCUCAAGCCAUUACAGCUCCCUGUGUCUAAGUUCUGAAACACGUACAUAUGCCCAGCUGCAAAUUAAACAGCUUCAAAUUUAAAACCAAAGAAUGUUUCCA
ensembl:lncRNA